rnacentral:lncRNA from 1 species
GUGAUGUUUAAAAUAAGAAUUCACAAUGAUGAUUGGUAUACUCAAGUAUAGUACUAGUACUUGCAUGAUCAUGUAUAUGAAUUUGAUAAUUGUUUGGUUUAUUAUUGAUUGUGUUGUGAUUAUAGAUUCACUGAGUAAAAUAGUUGCUCAUGACUCAUUCGUGUGUGCAGGUAACUCUUAGGCGGGAGACACUUUACUUUUUGGACGGAAGGAACGGCUAACCAGCGGUAGUAUUUUGUUGUCCUUGCAACGUACCUUUUGAUAUAUAUUUACCUAAAACGUUGUUGGGCAAUAGGCCGUAGGAUAAAACUAUAAC